GCUAAUUUAGCUAACGUUAACGUCAUAAACGUCGACCAGAUCCCUAUCAAGAAGAAAACUAACGUUACAUUAGCCUGCUUUGUGUUUGUGGGAUUAUUGACAAGCGUUGGCUAGCACUAACGUUAGACAAACUAUGACGGAAGAAAGUGUGUUCUUUAUUAAGCAACGUUUGCCUAAAGUUCACCAAUGUUCUUUAAUAUUAUAGUGUAGGCUAAGUUAACUCACAGAAAGGAGGAUGGUGCUAGGCUAGUCACACUUCACACUUCAUAUUCAUUAGGCAUGCUAAUGACAUUGUAGCUGUUUUUUUCUUUAAUCGUGGGGACAUCUUUUAAAAUGAGUCUACAGGAGAAAUUACAUGCAUUUUAUGAAGUAGAACGUUUUUUUCCACCAUUGAUAUUAGAGGGGGAAUUAAACCUGGUGUUCUACUAAGUUAGUGCUAUGAAGCUUAGGCUACAUGAUUGAUAUUAUGCCUUGGUUUAUGCGAUAGAUUUAGAUUUUUUUUUAAUUAUUUGUUUGACAGAGCAUUCAAGUUCAUUUCAUAGUAGUGUUUGUAAUUUACCUAGUUUUAAUCUGUAGCCUAACUAUGUUUUUACAGGUGUUCCUGGACAGUUUUGAAACCGAGAUGUCUGAACGCCUCAAAUAAUCAGCAGUAAAGGUAAAUAUUCUUCAUCCAGGACCUUGUCCCAUUACUCUUAAAGCAUAACUCAAGCCAAAAUGCAACCUAGGGUCUUUUUGUGAAUGUACCUGAGUCAAACUUUCGUUUGAAAGCAUAAUUAAGUCAGAAGCGCCACCAUUAAGCUUGACUAUUGUCGUUUCUGGGUCAAAUGCCAUUUUGAAUGGGAGUCUCCCAUUUAAAAUGCCAUUUGACCCGAAAACGAUAAUACGGUUGUAUUGGAAACAAAGGAAUCUAAGGUAAUCAAACGCAGAAAACAGGGUGGUUGCACUCAUAUCGGUGCCAAGGUGCACAACGCUUUAAGGAAAGACUACCUGGCCAGGUCUACCCAUACCAGGAUGGCAAACAGAUGGUGUCAAUACCAAUUUGACCC